rnacentral:rRNA from 1 species
AUUGAACGCUGGCGGCAUGCCUUACACAUGCAAGUCGAACGGCAGCGGACCUUCGGGUGCCGGCGAGUGGCGAACGGGUGAGUAAUAUAUCGGAACGUACCUUUCAGUGGGGGAUAACGUAGCGAAAGUUACGCUAAUACCGCAUAUUCUGUGAGCAGGAAAGCAGGGGAUCGCAAGACCUUGCGCUGAUUGAGCGGCCGAUAUCAGAUUAGCUAGUUGGUGGGUAAAGGCUCACCAAGGCGACGAUCUGUAGCGGGUCUGAGAGGAUGAUCCGCCACACUGGAACUGAGACACGGUCCAGACUCCUACGGGAGGCAGCAGUGGGGAAUUUUGGACAAUGGGCGCAAGCCUGAUCCAGCCAUGCCGCGUGAGUGAAGAAGGCCUGG